ACUGAAGGCCAGCUACAUCAAAUGGCAUACCACAUGAUCAUGAUGAGUUGUCCUGUGAAGGAACCGAUCCAUCUGCAAUACAACCACUGUUUGGAAAAUUCAUCUUCUUAUUGAGCUUGGCUGUCUGCUACAUGCUCCCUGUGGAGUGGAACAUCCACAGACAUUUUAAAGGAACAGCUUUGUGUCCCACCAAAGGUGCUGAGGACUGAAAACAUGGACUCACACAUCAUACAUGUGUAAGCUCUCCCAUCUACCACUGAGCUUCAGGUUUGUCAGCCAUCUCUCCACAUACACAUUAAGCAUUUGAAAAUAAACACUGCUGAUAUUGGAUGAUAGCAAGGUUCAGAAGACCUUCCAGAGGAUUUCGAGGAUCUUCUGUCCUCAAGGAAUCGAUUACAGAUUUCUACUUGCAGAAAAGGCAAGAAUGGCUGAUUAGGAAAAAAGAUACUCCCAAGGGAGGAGUUGGGCUGGAGGAAAGAGAUAGAUGGAAAACCACCCUGC
rnacentral:lncRNA from 1 species